rnacentral:rRNA from 1 species
UACAGAGGUGGCAAGCGUUGUUCGGAAUUACUGGGCGUAAAGGGCGCGUAGGCGGCCUGCUAAGUCGAACGUGAAAUCCCCGGGCUCAACCCGGGAACUGCGUCCGAUACUGGCAGGCUUGAAUUCGGGAGAGGGAUGCGGAAUUCCAGGUGUAGCGGUGAAAUGCGUAGAUAUCUGGAGGAACACCGGUGGCGAAGGCGGCUCACUGGCCCGGUACUGACGCUGAGGUGCGAAAGCGUGGGGAGCAAACAGG